UCCUUGAUCUCCUUCUUGCUCUGCUCGUCAACAUACUUCUGGUAAAACGCCACAAGGGCCUUGGCGAUGCUCUGACGGAUGGCGUAGAUCUGGGAGGUGUGGCCCCCGCCUUUGACUCGGAUCCUCAUGUCGACGCCGGCGAAGCGCUGUCGUCCGAGCAGCAGGAUCGGCUCGUAGGCCUUGAAUCGGAGGAUCUCAGGCUCGACGAGCUCGAUUGGGCAGCCGUUGAUCUUGAUCAGGCCGCGUCCACGCUUGCAGUAGGUCACUGCCACCGCCGUCUUCUUCCGACCGAAGCAUUGCACGGACUCGAUAGCUGGGGCCGCCAUGGUGUUGCUCUCUAG
rnacentral:lncRNA from 1 species